rnacentral:lncRNA from 1 species
AUGUUGUUUCUUACACUCCAUGGCAGGCGGCAUCUGAAGAUAGGGCUUUGUUACUGUUCCACGGGGCUAUUGAAUGAAUUUACAUUUGAUCCCUGCAAAGGUAGUGCCGUUAUUAUUCUAUGUGUGCACCAGCCCAGACUGAGGACCCUUGUCCUGCUCAAAGGCUGGGAUUCAUCAGACAGUGGAAAUGGGGUAGACCUCAUAUGCCCUGGCCUCCUUCACUGGGGCUGGGAGCCGAAGAGAGAACAACCUUUGCCCUUGGACUCACUCUCUCCCUGCCUCCUGCUUUGCUGUUUGGACAGAGGAAGUGUGUACUCACGUAGCUGCAGGAGCAACCACUUCCCCAUCACAUCUACACUAUAGAGGCUAAGUCCCAAUCAUUGCUGCUUUUCUUUCCACUAAUGAAUGGCUGUAUCCACAAAGAUGCCCAGUAAUUCCUCUUCUGUAAAACUGUAGAUCCGCCUGAAAAG